GCAAGUAUGGUAAGGGCGGACGGUGGAUCCCUAGGCAGCCGGAGGCGAUGAAGGGCGUGGCCAGCUGCGAUAAGCCCCGGGGAGCCGCU
rnacentral:rRNA from 1 species